UGUUCUAAAUCGCAGAAGCUUUGAUCGGAUUGUUCUCCGGUUGGCUUCAAGGCUUCAAUCGAUCUCUCGGCUAAGGGUAAACCUCACAUAGUUUGAUCGGUGUUCUUGAGCGGAUUCUUACAAACCUUGAGCGGUUUAAGCUAAACCGCACACUAUAUCAUCGGAUUCGCUUUUAUCACAGCAACUAAGCAGUAGCAACAGCAGUAGCUCCACAUCAAGUUUAUCACAGCAGUUCAGCAGAUUGCAAAACAGCAACAAUAGCAAAGCAGCUCAGUUUGGAACAACAGCCCAUGAACCAGAUUGAAACUGCAGCUACACAGCUUGCUUGAUAGACUUGAUCAACUAGCUUGCUAUUUCAUUUGUAAAAAUAGUCAUCAACAAAAGCAAAGUGUGCAGUUUUAGUUUAGACAAUGAGCAACAAAGCUUGAGCGAUUUUGACUGUAUAAGGAACUAGUGUUGAUCAUUCUUGAAGUUGUUUUGACCAGAUUAGUAGUUGGUUGUUGAAUGGACUGGACUCUAUACUUUAAU